rnacentral:rRNA from 1 species
AGAGUUUGAUCCUGGCUCAGGAUGAACGCUGGCGGCGUGCUUAACACAUGCAAGUCGAACGGGAUCCAUCAGGCUUUGCUUGGUGGUGAGAGUGGCGAACGGGUGAGUAAUGCGUGACCGACCUGCCCCAUACACCGGAAUAGCUCCUGGAAACGGGUGGUAAUGCCGGAUGCUCCGACUCCUCGCAUGGGGUGUCGGGAAAGAUUUCAUCGGUAUGGGAUGGGGUCGCGUCCUAUCAGGUAGUCGGCGGGGUAACGGCCCACCGAGCCUACGACGGGUAGCCGGCCUGAGAGGGCGACCGGCCACAUUGGGACUGAGAUACGGCCCAGACUCCUACGGGAGGCAGCAGUGGGGAAUAUUGCACAAUGGGCGCAAGCCUGAUGCAGCGACGCCGCGUGCGGGAUGACGGCCUUCGGGUUGUAAACCGCUUUUGAUCGGGAGCAAGCCUUCGGGUGAGUGUACCUUUCGAAUAAGCACCGGCUAACUACGUGCCAGCAGCCGCGGUAAUACGUAGGGUGCAAGCGUUAUCCGGAAUUAUUGGGCGUAAAGGGCUCGUAGGCGGUUCGUCGCGUCCGGUGUGAAAGUCCAUCGCUUAACGGUGGAUCUGCGCCGGGUACGGGCGGGCUGGAGUGCGGUAGGGGAGACUGGAAUUCCCGGUGUAACGGUGGAAUGUGUAGAUAUCGGGAAGAACACCAAUGGCGAAGGCAGGUCUCUGGGCCGUUACUGACGCUGAGGAGCGAAAGCGUGGGGAGCGAACAGGAUUAGAUACCCUGGUAGUCCACGCCGUAAACGGUGGAUGCUGGAUGUGGGGCCCGUUCCACGGGUUCCGUGUCGGAGCUAACGCGUUAAGCAUCCCGCCUGGGGAGUACGGCCGCAAGGCUAAAACUCAAAGAAAUUGACGGGGGCCCGCACAAGCGGCGGAGCAUGCGGAUUAAUUCGAUGCAACGCGAAGAACCUUACCUGGGCUUGACAUGUUCCCGACAGCCGUAGAGAUAUGGCCUCCCUUCGGGGCGGGUUCACAGGUGGUGCAUGGUCGUCGUCAGCUCGUGUCGUGAGAUGUUGGGUUAAGUCCCGCAACGAGCGCAACCCUCGCCCUGUGUUGCCAGCGCGUCAUGGUGGGAACUCGCGGGGGACCGCCGGGGUCAACUCGGAGGAAGGUGGGGAUGACGUCAGAUCAUCAUGCCCCUUACGUCCAGGGCUUCACGCAUGCUACAAUGGCCGGUACAACGGGAUGCGACACGGCGACGUGGAGCGGAUCCCUGAAAACCGGUCUCAGUUCGGAUUGGAGUCUGCAACCCGACUCCAUGAAGGCGGAGUCGCUAGUAAUCGCGGAUCAGCAACGCCGCGGUGAAUGCGUUCCCGGGCCUUGUACACACCGCCCGUCAAGUCAUGAAAGUGGGUAGCACCCGAAGCCGGUGGCCUAACCCUUUGUGGAUGGAGCCGUCUAAGGUGAGACUCGUGAUUGGGACUAAGUCGUAACAAGGUAGCC